rnacentral:rRNA from 1 species
ACCCGCUGAAUUUAAGCAUAUAAGUAAGUGGUGGAAAUUAAACCAACUGGGAUCUCUUCAGUAAUUGCGCAUGAACCAGGAUAUGCUUAGCUUGACAAAUGGAGCUGCUGGCUCUGAAUUGUAUUGUGGGAAUGUAUUACCAACAGAGGUGCAGGUGUCAGCCAUUUGAAAGAAAGCAUCAAUGAGGGUGAGAGUCCUGUUUGUCAUGUGCAGCCUUCUGUGCACGGUGUAUAUUUGCUGAGUCACACUCCUUGGCAUUGGAAUGCAAAGUGGGUGGUAAGUUUCAUGCAAAGGUAAAUAUGCAAUUGAGACUGGUAGCGCACAAGUACCAUGAGGGACAUAUGAAAAGGACUUUGAAAAGAGAAUUAAAUGAGUUUUUAUUUGCUAAACACAAAGUAAACAGACUUGAUUUCCUCAGUGAGAUUGUAGUGCUUGCUUAACAAUGGGUAUUGGCUGCAAGUGCAAUAAUUCUUGCUUUGUGUACCAGUUUUUAUGUGGACAUUUGGUUACCUGUGCACAUGAAUGGUAAUUUUCCUGCGGGGUGUGGAUUGCAUAUGCAUGUAAUGAUUUGCAUGUUUGUUAAAUGUGUCUGGUGUAUUUGUUUGUGUCCUUGUCCUUGAGGUUGCUUUCUCCCUUGGGCUUACAUGCCCUGGCACACACAUUCUGGCAAAAUGCUUCUGCUUGACCCGUCUUGAAACACGGUCCAAGG